GAAGAUCUACUCCAGCCUGUGGAAUGCCGACGACUGGGCAACCCGCGGCGGCCUCGAGAAGACCGACUGGAGCAAGGCCCCCUUCGUCGCCUCCUACCGCGGCUUCCACGUCGACGGCUGCGAGGCCUCCUCCGCCGCCGCCCUCUGCGCCACCCAGGGCAAGCGCUGGUGGGACCAGCGCGACUUCCAGGACCUCGACGGCCUCCAGUACCGCCGCCUCGCCUGGGUCCGUCGCCAGUACACCAUCUACAACUACUGC
rnacentral:lncRNA from 1 species